CUGAUUUGAAGAGCUUGCUCAGAUAUGACGAUGGACAUUGCAAAGAGUGGCGAACGGGUGAGUAACACGUGGGAAACCUACCUCUUAGCAGGGGAUAACAUUUGGAAACAGAUGCUAAUACCGUAUAACAAUGACAACCGCAUGGUUGUUAUUUAAAAGAUGGUUCUGCUAUCACUAAGAGAUGGUCCCGCGGUGCAUUAGCUAGUUGGUAAGGUAAUGGCUUACCAAGGCGAUGAUGCAUAGCCGAGUUGAGAGACUGAUCGGCCACAAUGGGACUGAGACACGGCCCAUACUCCUACGGGAGGCAGCAGUAGGGAAUCUUCCACAAUGGGCGAAAGCCUGAUGGAGCAACGCCGCGUGUGUGAUGAAGGGUUUCGGCUCGUAAAACACUGUUGUAAGAGAAGAAUGACAUUGAGAGUAACUGUUCAAUGUGUGACGGUAUCUUACCAGAAAGGAACGGCUAAAUACGUGCCAGCAGCCGCGGUAAUACGUAUGUUCCAAGCGUUAUCCGGAUUUAUUGGGCGUAAAGCGAGCGCAGACGGUUAUUUAAGUCUGAAGUGAAAGCCCUCAGCUCAACUGAGGAAUUGCUUUGGAAACUGGAUGACUUGAGUGCAGUAGAGGAAAGUGGAACUCCAUGUGUAGCGGUGAAAUGCGUAGAUAUAUGGAAGAACACCAGUGGCGAAGGCGGCUUUCUGGACUGUAACUGACGUUGAGGCUCGAAAGUGUGGGUAGCAAACAGGAUUAGAUACCCUGGUAGUCCACACCGUAAACGAUGAGUGCUAGGUGUUUGAGGGUUUCCGCCCUUAAGUGCCGCAGCUAACGCAUUAAGCACUCCGCCUGGGGAGUACGACCGCAAGGUUGAAACUCAAAGGAAUUGACGGGGACCCGCACAAGCGGUGGAGCAUGUGGUUUAAUUCGAAGCAACGCGAAGAACCUUACCAGGUCUUGACAUCCCUUGACAACUCCAGAGAUGGAGUGUUCCCUUCGGGGACAAGGUGACAGGUGGUGCAUGGUUGUCGUCAGCUCGUGUCGUGAGAUGUUGGGUUAAGUCCCGCAACGAGCGCAACCCUUAUUACUAGUUGCCAGCAUUCAGUUGGGCACUCUAGUGAGACUGCCGGUGACAAACCGGAGGAAGGUGGGGAUGACGUCAAAUCAUCAUGCCCCUUAUGACCUGGGCUACACACGUGCUACAAUGGCGUAUACAACGAGUUGCCAACCCGCGAGGGUGAGCUAAUCUCUUAAAGUACGUCUCAGUUCGGAUUGUAGGCUGCAACUCGCCUACAUGAAGUCGGAAUCGCUAGUAAUCGCGGAUCAGCACGCCGCGGUGAAUACGUUCCCGGGUCUUGUACACACCGCCCGUCACACCAUGAGAGU
rnacentral:rRNA from 1 species